rnacentral:rRNA from 1 species
GAUGAACGCUGGCGGCGUGCUUAACACAUGCAAGUCGAGCGAAGCGCUUAAGUUUGAUUCUUCGGAUGAAGACUUUUGUGACUGAGCGGGCGACGGGUGAGUAACGCGUGGUAACCUGCCUCAUACAGGGGGAUAACAGUUAGAAAUGACUGCUAAUACCGCAUAAGACCACAGGAUCGCAUGAUCCGGUGGUAAAAACUCCGGUGGUAUGAGAUGGACCCGCGUCUGAUUAGCUAGUUGGUGGGGUAACGGCUCACCAAGGCGACGAUCAGUAGCCGACCUGAGAGGGUGACCGGCCACAUUGGGACUGAGACACGGCCCAA